rnacentral:rRNA from 1 species
UACAGAUGUGGCAAGCGUUGUUCGGAAUCAUUGGGCUUAAAGCGCGCGAAGGCGGCCUUGUAAGUGUCUUGUGAAAUCCCACGGCUCACCCGUGGAACUGCAGGGCAAACUGCAAGACUUGAGGUCGGUAGAGGCGCCUGGAACUCUAGGUGGAGCGGUGAAAUGCGUAGAUAUCUAGGGGAACGCCGGAGGCGAAAGCGGGGCGCUGGGCCGAUUCUGACGCUGAUGCGCGAAAGCGUGGGGAGCAAACAGG